UCAUCAUUUCCUAUCUUUACUCUUCCUUUCUUGUUUUCCGUCAGAACCUAUACCAUGAAUUGUCAGGUCAUUUACUUUAACAAAUGUUUAUAUAUUUACCUUUGAAAAGAGCACUGUCAAAAAUCUUAAUUUCAAGUUCCCACUCAGUUACUUAACUGUAUGGCUACAACCAAAUCACCCAACUUCUCAGAGGCUUAUUUUUUCCUCUGUAAAACUGGAAAAUUUAUACUGGAUCUGCUACUCUGAUGAGAUAAAGUGGGAGGUGCUUGUUAUUUUUUGGGUGAGGAGAAAAGAUGAAGAACAGUGGAGAAAAGUGGAGAAAAGAUGAAGUUUAUGCAGCAAAUUGCUAACUGGAACAAGGUUCCAUACAGAUAGCCAGCCAUGGGAGUCAGAAUUUGAACUCAGAUCUGGUCUGGUUCUGAAGCCUCUCUUCUUUCCAGCUGUGAGACAAAGGAGCAAAUAUGAGAAGCACCUUUUGCUCACUUCUGCUUGCCAGCAGAAUUUCACAAAAGCCCUGGACUGUGAAGAUGUUUGGAAAGAUGCUUUGAAGACAAAACCUUUAACAGGGUUAGUGUUUAUGCCUCUGUAAUCUACAACCGGAUGCGCUCUUACACCCAAGCCUUGAUGGGAUUCUGCUGCGACGGAAAUUCUGAGCAAAUUUGAUGUGAUUGUGCAGG
rnacentral:lncRNA from 1 species